AACGAACGCUGGCGGCAUGCCUAACACAUGCAAGUCGAACGAGACCUUCGGGUCUAGUGGCGCACGGGUGCGUAACGCGUGGGAACCUGCCCUUAGGUUCGGAAUAACUCCCCGAAAGGGGUGCUAAUACCGGACAAUGUCUUCGGACCAAAGAUUUAUCGCCUUUGGAUGGGCCCGCGUUGGAUUAGCUAGUUGGUAGGGUAAAAGCUUACCAAGGCGACGAUCCAUAGCUGGUCUGAGAGGAUGAUCAGCCACACUGGACUGAGACACGGCCCAGACUCCUACGGGAGGCAGCAGUGGGGAAUAUUGGACAAUGGGCGAAAGCCUGAUCCAGCAAUGCCGCGUGAGUGAUGAAGGCCUUAGGGUUGUAAAGCUCUUUUACCCGGGAUGAUAAUGACAGUACCGGGAGAAUAAGCUCCGGCUAACUCCGUG
rnacentral:rRNA from 1 species